GGCGGUUCUCGGAUGAUGCAUCCCAGAAUCGAGCUCUCUCCUCUCUGGUUCUGGGUGCAUCACCCGAGAACCGCA
rfam:Myotis brandtii contig204402, whole genome shotgun sequence.